CCAGACUCCUACGGGAGGCAGCAGUGGGGAAUAUUGCACAAUGGGGGGAACCCUGAUGCAGCGACGCCGCGUGGGCGAGGAAGUAUUUCGGUAUGUAAAGCCCUACCGGCAGGGAAGAAGAAAUGACGGUACCUGAAUAAGAAGCCCCGGCUAACUACGUGCCAGCAGCCGCGGUAAUACGUAGGGGGCAAGCGUUAUCCGGAUUUACUGGGUGUAAAGGGGGCGCAGACGGCGAUGCAAGCCAGGAGUGAAAGCCCGGGGCCCAACCCCGGGACUGCUCUUGGAACUGCGUGGCUGGAGUGCAGGAGGGGCAGGCGGAAUUCCUGGUGUAGCGGUGAAAUGCGUAGAUAUCAGGAGGAACACCGGUGGCGAAGGCGGCCUGCUGGACUGCAACUGACGUUGAGGCCCGAAAGCGUGGGGAGCAAACAGGAUUAGAUACCCCGGUACA
rnacentral:rRNA from 1 species